rnacentral:rRNA from 1 species
UAAUACGUAGGGGGCAAGCGUUGUCCGGAAUUAUUGGGCGUAAAGCGCGCGCAGGCGGUUUCUUAAGUCUGGUGUUUAAGUGCGGGGCUCAACCCCGUGACGCACUGGAAACUGGGAGACUUGAGUGCAGAAGAGGAGAGCGGAAUUCCACGUGUAGCGGUGAAAUGCGUAGAGAUGUGGAGGAACACCAGUGGCGAAGGCGGCUCUCUGGACUGUAACUGACGCUGAGGCGCGAAAGCGUGGGGAGCAAACAGGAUUAGAUACCCUGGUAGUCCACGCCGUAAACGAUGAGUGCUAGGUGUUGGGGGGGUCCACCCCUCGGUGCCGAAGUUAACACAUUAAGCACUCCGCCUGGGGAGUACGGUCGCAAGACUGAA